UACGUAGGGGGCAAGCGUUGUCCGGAUUUAUUGGGCGUAAAGAGCGUGUAGGCGGCCAAGCAGGUCCGCUGUGAAAACUCGAGGCUCAACCUCGAGACGUCGGUGGAAACCGUUUGGCUAGAGUCCGGAAGAGGAGAGUGGAAUUCCCGGUGUAGCGGUGAAAUGCGCAGAUAUCGGGAAGAACACCCGUGGCGAAGGCGGCUCUCUGGGACGGUACUGACGCUGAGACACGAAAGCGUGGGUAGCAAACAGG
rnacentral:rRNA from 1 species